CCUCCAUGGCGCUUGCUCCUCCGUGGUUUGGUUACUGAAAAGAAAGAUCCUUCUUUUGCCUAGAGCAUUCACCUGUGAGUCAGCCUUGGCAAAGAGCAGCAGAAGGAAGUUGAGG
rnacentral:miRNA from 1 species